ACAUCGCUGAUUUCCAUCAAACCUGUUGUGAUGAAAGUUAACGAUGUCGUAACCAUGUUAUUCGCUGAGCUUGACUCCGAGUAAUGUGGCUAUUUU
rfam:Streptococcus sp. DD10 genomic scaffold scaffold00004, whole genome shotgun sequence.